rnacentral:misc_RNA from 1 species
GCCUUCUUCAAAAGAAUAACUCUACAAUGGAAGCAAAAACUUUGCUUAAUUAACUAAUGUGACAUAACUAACAGACUCAAUAACAAAAGGCCAUUAAAAUGCGUAUAGAGAGAGAUUCAAUGGCUAAAUGACACACCCAAAUUGAAAAUGAGAACCUGAUCAUAGCCUAUUACUCAGCUCACACAUGUAGCUUUAGGGAUUUGAACAAAAUAAUCUAGACUAGUAAACAGUUCAAGUAAAUCCAGAUAAGGAUCUGAGUAAAAUAAAAUAUGCUGAAAAAAUCAAUCACGCUAUAUGUUACAGGUGCUCACACACAACAUGAAUCUUUUUUUUUUUUUUUUUUU